CACAGUCAUAGCUCACUGCAACCUCAGCCUUCCACAUUUGGAAGCUAGGAAUUCCAGUGAUCGCACAGGAUUCUGGGAGCCACAGUCCCAUUUUUGCUGAACUCCUGGCCUCAAGAGAUCCUCCUGCCUCGGCCUCCCAAAGUGCCAGGAUUACGGGAUCAUUGCCAGCAGAACAUCCUACACCAAUGGCUCUUUGGGCAGGAUCUUGGCUGUGCUUUGUCUGUCUAGCUUCAUGCCUAAGUUUGCCAAGAGCCCUGAUCCAGGUGAAGUGUGUAAACCUUGCACGUGGAAUUCCCAGCAAAGAAGCUGUAGGGAUCGGGAUAGGGCCUGGGAAGUGUCUGACUUACAGAAACCCACCAUGUCUUGUUCUCUGCUGGAGACCUCUGCUUCUCCAUCUUGUGAACAUCCACAGGCCCCCUGCACCGUAAUCUUGCCCUCUUACUGUUGACUCAGUCCUCAUGGAAGUUAUAAAAGAACUUGUGUGGAUUAGCUUGCUAAAUACAUCCAAGAUUUGAAGAACUGAAAACAAAAUCAGUAUUAAACCUGCUUUUUAAAAAUGCACCCUUGCAGGGUAACAGUUAACACUUCCGUGGUCUGGAUGAGGAUACGAGAGAGGUAAGGAGCGUGCUGACGGUCACCUAGCCAGUGAAUGUGAACUGUCUGACUUUCUCUGAUUUGCCAUAUCCUUAAACGUGUUUAGAUGCUCUUCCUGGCAUGGAUGUAAAUAAGAGAUUGGAACCUCCUGGAUUGUGUUCAUAAGAGGAAUGUGAUCCUCAUCCUUCUAAACUUUGUCUGGAGUCACAGAAAGCAAGGAAGUUAGAGAAACAUCCUGUCACACAGCUUUGGUACCUGUGUGGGGAGCUAAGAGAUCUGAUGUCCAGUUCCUUCCAGUCCUUUAAUGAAUUUCCUCUGUGUCCAUGAGCUAUCUAACAUCCAUGGGAAACAGUUGAUCUUAUGCCAACCAAGGGGCAUGGACCAGAUGCUCUCAAGAGUCUCUCAGUCAGCUCUUUGCUGAGGGACCUUAUGCAUGGAGGAAAGUGCACACAUCGCUAAGUGGAUAGCUUGAUGGAAUAGUUGUUACAAAAUGGACACACUUCUGCAAUCAGCACCUUGAUUAGUAGAAAAUUACCAGCACCCCAGAGCCCUCCUCCCCUCAUGCUCCAGGAGCAACCGGUAUGCUGCCUUGUGAUGCCUUUGUUUAGUUUGUUUUUAUGAAUAGAAUCAUACAGUGAAUAUUCUUUUGUGUCUAGCUUGUUUUACUUAUUAUGUUUGUGAGAUCUACAAUAUUGUAUACAAUACUUUUUUUGCAUUCUCUUUGCUCUAAUGCUAUUCAAUUGUAUAGCGAUUUUACAGUUGCUGGACAUUUACGUAGUCUCUUGCUUGGGCAUAUUACUAAUAGUGCUCCUAUGAAUGUGUUGUGCAUAUCUUUUCAUUAUGAUCGUAUUUUGUUUGUUCAGGGACUAAAGUCAUUUUGAUUCGGUGGCACUUUGGAUUGAUGUUGAACUUUAGGUAGCCAAGUGAUUUGUCUGCUUCAAUGUGAUGUUCCAAGGUGCUUACUCAACAGGAUCAGAUGAAGAUGUUUUUGUAGAUUACUCUUGUGGGGUGUGGCCAGGUGGAAGCCCUCUCUGAUAUGUGAGUGGUGUGGUGAGGCUUAUUGUCCUGGCAGAGAAGGGUUUUGAUUGCAUGGUACAGGAAGGGACUAUGUAGGGGAAGGGGAAAUAGAUCCAGAAGAGAGAUGUGUCUGGAUUCCCAUAGAAACUGUCAGGAUAUCUUACCAAUCAGAUCAAGAACCUGGAAAAGUAAGAGCCCCAGGGAAGACUCAGCUUGUGAGACCCGAUGUGUCUAGGGAGACGAAUAGAGAAAGAAAAAUUGAGGCAGGCCUGAACUCAGAAGGAGCUCUCAAAGAAUUUUCUGAACAAAUUCAUUAAGCCUAACUUGUUUUAAGGAAGCUUUGAAAAACCAGUCCCUAAAAGUAUGAAUCUUGAGCCAAGAAUGAACUUAAAGUAUAGAACUAGGAAAAAAUGUAUUUUCCCAAACAAAUAUGGGAUGUGAGCAUGUGGGCUUUGCCUUAAGACCUUUCUGCAUUCAGAUCACAAUUCCACCACUUUCUUGUCUCAUGACCUUUCUGGGUCAGCUUCCACAUCUGUAAAAUGGGGUGGUAAAAUCUCCACCUCUAAGAUGCCCCCAAAAUCUGCUGUAACAAUUGACUACAAUAGUGUUAGUAUUAUGCUUCAGGGCACAUAGACCUAGCACUAAAAAUGAUAGUCAUUUUAUUUCUCAUUCUUGUUACUAAGGUUACCCAUUUGUAUCUGAUACUUUAUGAGAGU
rnacentral:lncRNA from 1 species